rnacentral:rRNA from 1 species
GACGAACGCUGGCGGCGUGCUUAACACAUGCAAGUCGAACGGAAAGGCCCUGCUUUUGUGGGGUGCUCGAUUGGCGAACGCGUGCGUAACACGUGUGUAACCUGCCCUUGACUUUGGGAUAACUUCAGGAAACUGGGGCUAAUACCGGAUAGGAGCUCCUGCUGCAUGGUGGGGGUUGGAAAGUUUCGGCGGUUGGGUAUGGACUCGCGGCUUAUCAGCUUGUUGGUGGGGUAGUGGCUUACCAAGGUUUUGAAGGGUAGCCGGCUUGAGAGGGUGACCGGCCACAUUGGGACUGAGAUACGGCCCAGACGCCUACGGGAGGCAGCAGUGGGGAAUAUUGCACAAUGGGCGGAAGCCUGAUGCAGCAACGCCGCGAGCGGGAUCACCGCCUUCGAGUUGUAAACCGCUUUCGCCGGUAACGAAGCGUGAGUGACGGUAAUGAAUAAAGAAGCAACGGCUAACUACGUG